UUCAACUCGGCUAGAUAUCCUGAUCAUGAAUGUAUAUACUUUAUAGGGUCGCAAACGCUUCGUUCUGUUUGUUACAUACUUUCCGACAAAUUUAAUUUACUCUUUUACUCUACGAGUAACGGGUAUAAAAAUUGUUUCUUUUUGAGAAUCAAAAUGGUUAGUUAAAGCUAAGAACCAAGGAAUUUGAUCUUUGGCUACGUUCGAACAAAAGCAGUUUGGAAACAAGAAAUUAACGAACAAAAAAAAAACUGGCAGGAGGUAGCGCCGGUAAUAGGCAAAGAUUAUAAUACUUUCAAGCUGGCUUGGAAGCUCUGGAAUGCUGGAGAAGAUCCACUGGAGUCCGUUGAAAAGGAGCAUGCCGGUUGGGACUUCCUGCCGGACUUGUCCUCGCAAGGAAAGUCGGUUCUGGCCAAAAGUCGUAUUAAUAGAUAUAUAAAUGUAAUUCGGUCUCCGACGACCUCUUUAUCGCGAAUCGCUGGACUCUAUCACCACCAGUUACUUGGCAGCUAAAGCGUAGCUGGGAGGAGGAAAAAAGGCUAUAAGCUACUUAUUUACAUAAGUAUAAACAUUCGUUGAACAUUCCAA